UUUAUAUAUCUUAUGCUAUAGAGUUUAAUAUUGAAGCUAUUAAAGAAGGAUUUAUCCUUAUAAAU
rnacentral:tRNA from 1 species